CAAAGAUUUAUCGGUAAAGGAUGGGGAUGCGUCCGAUUAGCUUGUUGGCGGGGUAACGGCCCACCAAGGCAUCGAUCGGUAGGGGUUCUGAGAGGAAGGUCCCCCACACUGGAACUGAGACACGGUCCAGACUCCUACGGGAGGCAGCAGUGAGGAAUAUUGGUCAAUGGCCGUAAGGCUGAACCAGCCAAGUAGCGUGAGGGAAGACUGCCCUAUGGGUUGUAAACCUCUUUUAUGCGGGGAUAAAGGUGUCCACGUGUGGAUGUUUGCAGGUACCGCAUGAAUAAGGACCGGCUAAUUCCGUGCCAGCAGCCGCGGUAAUACGGAAGGUCCGGGCGUUAUCCGGAUUUAUUGGGUUUAAAGGGAGCGUAGGCCGGUCUUUAAGCGUGCCGUGAAAUUUUGUGGCUCAACCAUGAGAGUGCGGCGCGAACUGGAGACCUUGAGUGCGCGGAAGGCAGGCGGAAUUCGUGGUGUAGCGGUGAAAUGCUUAGAUAUCACGAAGAACCCCGGUUGCGAAGGCAGCCUGCCGCAGCGUUACUGACGCUGAAGCUCGAAAGCGCGGGUAUCGAACAGGAUUAGAUACCCUGGUAGUCCGCGCGGUAAACGAUGGAUGCCCGCUGUCGGCGAUAUACAGUCG
rnacentral:rRNA from 1 species